rnacentral:lncRNA from 1 species
GAAUAUAAAUGCAUGAUAUGUUAUGUUUUAAAAAUUACGUAGUUCAAAAGUAUUUUUUAUUUAUUUAUUCAUAUCAUAUCAUAGAAUUUUUAAAGAUUUAUUUUGGUAAAAAUCCUAACUAUACUUUUUUGGUAUAAAAUAUAAAUAUGGAGACAAAAAAUUCUUACAUCUCAAGAAUCAUAGAAUAUUCUUUCUAUGUUUCUACAUAGAAACUAUCUAUUUACUUGUCUCAAGUCCUAGGAAUUGAAGUUUUGUCAUAGUUGAGGUUAAACAACUCAACUUUAAAUCUAACUUCAAUAUAUUUUAUUUGUCAAUCUUAUCUUAUCUUCUUCAACUUAGUCUUUAAAGCACUUUCUUCUUUGUGUUAAGAAUCCUCUAUAUCUUCAUAAACUUUAUCUUGCAACUCUCACAACUUAUUGAUAGAUCAAAAGUGUAUGAUGAAAUAAUAUAUAAGUAUGUCAAAUGUAAUCUCUUUUUUAUAAUUUUUUUAAUAAUUAAAAUAUAAUUUAUGGCUAUUUAUAGAUUUUAUAGUAUUUUUCUUUUAAUAUUAUUUAAACAUAAUAAAACUAUUAUAUU